CGUCCACUGACGUCUUUUACACGUCUAGACUAGACUAGUAGGAAAAAAACAGAAUUAUCUUUAUGAAAUACACAAUUUGUAUACAAAGUAAAUAUAUUAACUUUAUCUUGUUUAAAAAAAUUAUAAUCACAAACUGCCCAGUGUGAUUGCAAAGCCACAAUACAUCAUUAUUUCAACCUGCUUUAUUAUUAAAUGUAUGCAUAUAAAUGUAAAGAAAGUAUAUAUCCGGUUACCAUUUAGGUCUGAGUUGGAUGUAAUUUCAAAACUGCGCUGCCAAGAAUGUUUUAACAAAAUAUUUUACAAAAUCGCGCGAUAGGAUAGAUUUUCUCGCGAGAUAGUUGUCACGUCACACGUUCUCCCGGAAGUACGUCGUGUGCAGCCAGCAAGCCACGAGGAGAGGGUGAAUUUAUGAAGGAGUUGUGUCUAUAUAUUAUAUAAAACCUACUAUUGGUUGAAGAUCAACACAAACCAAAUGAAGAUGUUGUAGAUUCUACAAACAAUAAAAAAGAAGGUGAUGGCACACAUCAUGACAGUAAACAUCGGUAUCAAGAUGGUGUGAUUGAUCUAUACCCUAGAAUAAGCUGUGACACUGAUGCUGUGGUCACAUAAUGAACAGCCAUCUUACAGACAACCGAAAGAGUAUUGUCUACAAUCCCAAAUUCUGGAUUGACGAUCCAGUACCAGUGGGCACCCCAAUCCCAGAGAGCAUCCAUCUGAAACCAGGUGAGGUAACACAACGAAAAAAUUACCGGAUGGAGACUACCUGAUUCUUCACCUAUGGCCUCAGCUUCAAAUGCAAGAAUACGUCCAGCAACUGUCUGAGCUGGUGGAUAUUCUGUCAGAGACUGCGUGAACAAUGUUAUGAACAGGUAUGUAUUUCUCUUGAAUUGUGUAAUCUUGCACCAUAAUAUUUCAGGAAUAUAUGUUGAUUACCACCAUUAACCCAGCUAUUUAUAUUACUUCAUUUCAGGAUUUAAUCUGUCACACAUUACUUGUUCAGAAGUUUUAAUGUUCGUAGUGGCUCAAACAGUCAGCCAUACUGAAAAAAAGAAAUCAAAACAUAAUUUCAGUAAUGAUGUCUAAUUGUCUUAUGGCAAAGUUCAAUAUGAGGGGUGGUGGACAUCUGGAAAAGAAGUCUUUUAAAGGCAGACCUUUGUAUUAUGUUAUUCAAGAUGCUGUGAAGAGGUGGAGCCCAAAUGCCACAGACUCGGAAAUAGAUGCAGCUAUGGCAGACGACCUCAAGCUAAAUAAGCCAAACAGCUGUAAUGUGUUAAAGAGAGAGUUCACCCAAAAAUGAAAAUUGUUAUAAUUUUUUUACCCACAUGUUUCAAACCUGUAUACAUUUCUAUUUUCUGCUGAACACAAAGAUUGAAAAAUGUUUGUAACCAAGCUAACUGUCAAUAAUUUUUUUUUACAAUUGUAGUACUGGGUUGUGAGAUCUGCUUUCUAUUCUUUCAAAUAUCUUUGUGUUCAGCAGAACAUAGAAAAGUAUACAGGUUUGAAACAUAAGAGAGAGUAAAUUACUAAAUAAUCAUUUUGGGUGAACUAUCCUUUUAUAGAGUAAAGUAUUUUGAAAUUGUUAUUAUAGUUAAACGGUUUAAAAAAAUAAAAAGUGCUAAAUCAGAACAUGCUUCUUUUUUUGCUUGUAUCCAUAAAUAAUGUGUUCUUUAAUGUGUUUGUGAAAUACACGUGAUUACAACGUUAUAAAGACGUUCAGGUUUGACUGGACUGAAUUUGUGUAUUUUAAGAACCUUAAUAAUUGCCUAUUACAAUUGUACAAACUAGCCUGUUUUAUAUGCACGUUUAAGUGAGUAUAACGCCUGAAUUAAGCAGAGACUCAUAUUACAGUCCAGAAGAGGACAUUUUUAGACGUGCACGGACCGUGCAGAAAAGACGUGUGAUUCACGGUCAGAUGACGUCAAAGACGUCGGUUGGAUUUUCAUUUUGGAACUAUUUUUCAACCAGGACGGGACGUGACGAACGGACGUCUUUUCAACGGUCAUCACA